rnacentral:rRNA from 1 species
AUUGAACGCUGGCGGCAUGCUUUACACAUGCAAGUCGAACGGCAGCGCGGGGGCAACCCUGGCGGCGAGUGGCGAACGGGUGAGUAAUGCAUCGGAACGUAUCCUGUAAUGGGGGAUAACGUAGCGAAAGUUACGCUAAUACCGCAUACGCUCGAGAGAGGAAAGUGGGGGAUCGCAAGACCUCACGUUAUAGGAGCGGCCGAUGUCCGAUUAGCUAGUUGGUGGGGUAAAGGCCUACCAAGGCGACGAUCGGUAGCUGGUCUGAGAGGAUGAUCAGCCACACUGGGACUGAGACACGGCCUAGACUCCUACGGGAGGCAGCAGUGUGGAAUUUUGGACAAUGGGCGAAAGCCUGAUCCAGCCAUGCCGCGUGCGGGAAGAAGGCCUUCGGGUUGUAAACCGCUUUAGUCCGGGAAAAAGGGGUGCGAGGAUAAUACCCUUGUGCUUUGAUGGUACUGGAAGAAUAAGCACCGGCUAACUACGUGCCAGCAGCCGCGGUAAUACGUAGGGUGCGAGCGUUAAUCGGAAUUACUGGACGUAAAGCGUGCGCAGGCGGUCUUGUAAGACAGUCGUGAAAGCCCCGGGCUUAACCUGGGAACUGCGAUUGUGACUGCAAGGCUAGAGUGUGUCAGAGGGGGGUGGAAUUCCACGUGUAGCAGUGAAAUGCGUAGAGAUGUGGACGAACACCGAUGGCGAAGGCAGCCCCCUGGGAUAACACUGACGCUCAUGCACGAAAGCGUGGGGAGC